AAGGCUUGGAGCUAAAGGUGGUGGCCA
rnacentral:piRNA from 1 species